UGUUGUUCUAGACAAGGACCUAUUUCCCAAU
rnacentral:piRNA from 1 species